rnacentral:rRNA from 1 species
AUUGAACGCUGGCGGCAGGCCUAACACAUGCAAGUCGAGCGGAUGAAGGUAGCUUGCUAUCUGAUUCAGCGGCGGACGGGUGAGUAAUGCCUAGGAAUCUGCCUGGUAGUGGGGGACAACGUUUCGAAAGGAACGCUAAUACCACAUACGUCCUACGGGAGAAAGUGGGGGAUCUUCGGACCUCACGCUAUCAGAUGAGCCUAGGUACGAUUAGCUAGUUGGUGAGGUAAAGGCUCACCAAGGCGACGAUCGUUAACUGGUCUGAGAGGAUGAUCAGUCACACUGGAACUGAGACACGGUCCAGACUCCUACGGGAGGCAGCAGUGGGGAAUAUUGGACAAUGGGCGAAAGCCUGAUCCAGCCAUGCCGCGUGUGUGAAGAAGGUCUUCGGAUUGUAAAGCACUUUAAGUUGGGAGGAAGGGCAGUAAGUUAAUACCUUGCUGUUUUGACGUUACCAACAGAAUAAGCACCGGCUAACUUCGUGCCAGCAGCCGCGGUAACAC